AGAAUCAACGCUGGCGGCGUGCCUAACACAUGCAAGUCGAGCGCGAAAGGGGAGCAAUCCCCAAGUAGAGCGGCGAACGGGUGAGUAACGCGUGGGUAAUCUACCUCCGAGUGGGGAAUAACAGCGGGAAGCUGCUGCUAAUACCGCAUGACAUCGUCGAGCCUUCGGGCCUGACGAUCAAAGCCGGGGACCGCAAGGCCUGGCGCUUGGAGACGAGCCCGCGUCCGAUUAGCUAGUUGGCGGGGUAAUGGCCCACAAGGCUCCGAUCGGUA
rnacentral:rRNA from 1 species